rnacentral:rRNA from 1 species
AUUGAACGCUGGCGGCAGGCCUAACACAUGCAAGUCGAGCGGAUGAAGGGUUCUUGCUCCUGGAUUCAUCGUCGGACGGGUGUGUAAUUCCUAUGAAUCUGCCUGUUAUUUUUUGAUUACGUCCGUUAACGGGCGCUUUUACCGCAUACGUCCUGAUGUUGAUAGUUGGGGUUCUUCGUACCUCACGCUUUCUUAUUUUCCUAGGUCGUAUUAGCUAGUUGGUGUGGUAAAGGCUUACCAAGGCGACGAUCCGUAACUGGUCUGAGAGGAUGAUCAGUCAAACUGGAACUGAGACACGGAACAGACUACUAAGGGAGGCAGCAGUGGGGAAUAUUGGACAAUGGGCGAAAGCAUGAUACAGCAAGGCCGAGUGUGUGAAGAAGGUCUUCGGAGUGUAAAGAACUUUAAGUUGGGAGGAAGGGAAGUAAGAUAAAAACUUGAUGUUGUGACGGUAACAAAAGAAUAAGCACCGGCUAACUACGUG